GAUCAGGUGGCCGAGUGGUUAAGGCGAUGGACUGCUAAUUCACUGGGGAUUCCACGCGUGAGCUCGAAUCCCAUCCUGAUCC
rnacentral:tRNA from 1 species